rnacentral:pre_miRNA from 1 species
CAAAUACUACCUCCGUCCGAAAAUACUUGUCCUAAAGAUGAAUGUAUUUAGACUUAUUUUAAUUGUAGAUACAUUCAUUAUAUGUAUUUUUAAGACAAGUAUUUUCGAACAAAGGGAGUACUUA